rnacentral:misc_RNA from 1 species
UAGUGCCGGACCGACAAC